UACGGAGGGUGCAAGCGUUAUCCGGAUUUACUGGGUUUAAAGGGUGUGUAGGCGGAUUAUUAAGUCAGCGGUGAAAUCCCCGGGCUCAACCCGGAAACUGCCAUUGAUACUAUUAGUCUUGAAUAUUGUUGAGGUGGGCGGAACGGGUCAUGAUAGCGGUGAAAUGCAUAGAUAUGACCCGGAACACCGAUUGCGAAGGCAGCCCACUAAGCAAUGAUUGACGCUGAGGCACG
rnacentral:rRNA from 1 species